AUACGUAGGGGGCAAGCGUUGUCCGGAAUCAUUGGGCGUAAAGGGCGCGUGGGCGGAUACUUAAGUCUGGUGUGAAAACCUAGGGCUCAACCCUGGGACUGCAUCGGAAACUGGGUAUCUUGAGGACAGGAGAGGAAAGUGGAAUUCCACGUGUAGCGGUGAAAUGCGUAGAUAUGUGGAGGAACACCAGUGGCGAAGGCGACUUUCUGGACGAUAACUGACGCUGAGGCGCGAAAGCGUGGGGAGC
rnacentral:rRNA from 1 species